GAACGCACAUUGCGCCCUUUGGUAUUCCGAAGGGCAUGCCUGUUCGAGCGUCAUUAUCACCCCUCAAGCCCCCGGCUUGGUGUUGGACGGUCGGUAGGACGUAUUACUACGUCCCACCCCUCCCAAAGACAAUGACGGCGGCCUCGUUGGACCCCCGGUACACUGAGUUCUUCACGGAGCACGUACUGGACAAGGGCUCGCGGGGCACGGUCUGCCUCCCCUUAGGGAGAAUUUUUAACAAGGUUGACCUCGGAUCAGGUAGGAAUACCCGCUGAACUUAAG
rnacentral:misc_RNA from 1 species